rnacentral:rRNA from 1 species
AGCCCAAUAGCUAGCCCACAUAUAAAUCUCAUAAAGUAUAACCAUGCAUAAACCCACACCCCACAAGAUUUUUUUACUAAAGCAUUAAACCACUAAAGUACAGGCGAUAGAAAUAGAAAAUGGAGCAACAGAGAAAGUACCGCAAGGGAAAGCUGAAAGAGAAAUGAAAUAACUCAGUCAAGCACAACAAAGCAAAGAUUACUUCUUGUACCUUUUGCAUCAUGGUCUAGCCAGUCCCCCCAAGCAAGAAGAAUCGUAGUCUGGCACCCCGAACCCUGGUGAGCUACUCCAAGACCGUCUAUACAACUAGGACUAACCCGUCUCUGUGGCAAAAGAGUGGGAAGAGCUUUGAGUAGAGGUGAUAAGCCUACCGAACUGGGUGAUAGCUGGUUGUCUAAGAAAUGGAUAGAAGUUCAGCCCUUAUUAUUCUUCAACCACACCAUGAAUUAUAGGUAUAAGAAAUUUAAGGAGUUAGACUAAAGGGGUACAGCCCUUUGGUCUUAAGAAACAACUUUGAAAGGUGGAUAAGGCCUAUAUUAAAAUCUAAGGAAGAGCACUAUAGUGGGCCUAAAAGCAGCCAUCUAAUUAAAAAGCGUUAAAGCUUAAGUGCAGAUAAAAUUCCCCAAUUCCAGUACAUACUCCAACUCCCCCUAAAACAUUAGACCACUUUAUGUCCACAUAAAGGUGUUUAUGCUAGUAUGAGUAAUAAGAGGAAGCACCUCUCCUGGCACAAGUGUAAGUCAGAACGAACUACUCACUGAUUUAUAACGGCCCCAACAAAGAGGAGAGUGCUCUAAAUAAAAAUUACUAGAAAACCACGCAAGUAUUUACCGUUAAUCUUACACAAGAGUGCACAAAGGGAAAGACUAAAAGGGGGGGAAGGAACUCGGCAAACUCUACUAGCCUCGCCUGUUUACCAAAAACACCGCCUUCUGAUAAACACACAUAGAAGGUCCCGCCUGCCCUGUGAUAUUAAAUUUAACGGCCGCGGUAUUUUGACCGUGCAAAGGUAGCGAAAUCACUUGUCUUUUAAAUGAAGACCUGUAUGAAUGGCAUAACGAGGGCUUAACUGUCUCCCUCCCCCAGUCAAUGAAAUUGAUCUGCCCGUGCAGAAGCGGACAUAACGCCAUAAGACGAGAAGACCCUGUGGAGCUUCAGGCAAACAAGUAGCCCCUGUAAAGACUAAUCUUAAUGAUAAGUAAAACAUUGGGGUGACUAUUUCGCUGCCUUUGGUUGGGGCGACCGCGGGGCAUAAAAAACCCCCAUGAGGAAUUGGGACAACCCCCCUCAAACCGAGAGCACUAGCUCGAAAUAACAGAAUAUCUGACCUAACUGACCCGGCAAAGCCGAUCAACAGAACCAGUUACCCCAGGGAUAACAGCGCAAUCCUUUCCGAGAGUCCUUAUCGACGACAGGGUUUACGACCUCGAUGUUGGAUCAGGAUAUCCUAAUGGUGCAACCGCUAUUAAGGGUUCGUUUGUUCAACGAUUAAAAUCCUACGUGAUCUGAGUUCAGACCGGAGUAAUCCAGGUCAGUUUCUAUCUAUGUAAUGUUCUUUUCUAGUACGAAAGGACCGAAAAGACAAGGCCAAUACUAAGAGCAAGCCUUACCACCCACCUAAUGCAAACACCUUAAAUAGGUAAGGGGGCAUAUAUCUCUUCCCGUAAAGAACGGCAU